rnacentral:rRNA from 1 species
GACAGAGGGUGCAAACGUUGUUCGGAUUUACUGGGCGUAAAGCGCGUGUAGGCGGCUUUGCAAGUCGGAUGUGAAAUCCCACGGCUCAACCGUGGAAGUGCAUCCGAAACUGCAUCGCUCGAGUCUCGGAGAGGAAGGUGGAAUGCCUGGUGUAGAGGUGAAAUUCGUAGAUAUCAAGCAGAACACCUGCGGCGAAGGCGGCCUUCUGGACGAUGACUGACGCUGAGACGCGAAAGCGUGGGGAGCAAACAGG